CCUACGGGAGGCAGCAGUGGGGAAUAUUGGGCAAUGGGCGCAACCCUGACCCAGCAACGCCGCGUGAAGGAAGAAGGCUUUCGGGUUGUAAACUUCUUUUGACAGGGAGGAGUAGAAGACGUUACCUGCCGAAUAAGCCACGGCUACCUACGGGCAACAAGCAGCGGUAAUACGUAGGUGGCAGGCGUUGUCCGGAUUUACUGGGUGUAAAGGCCGUGUAGCCGGGUUGACAAGUCAGAUGUGAAAUCCUGCGGCUUAACCGCAGAACUGCAUUUGAAACUGUUGUUCUUGAGUACUGGAGAGGCAGACGGAAUUCCUAGUGUAGCGGUGAAAUGCGUAGAUAUUAGGAGGAACACCAGUGGCGAAGGCGGUCUGCUGGACAGCAACUGACGGUGAGGCGCGAAAGCGUGGGGAGCAAACAGGAUUAGAUACCCCUGUAGUC
rnacentral:rRNA from 1 species